GAGUUUGAUCAUGGCUCAGGAUGAACGCCGGCGGUGUGCCUAAUACAUGCAAGUCGUACGCACUGGCCCAACUGAUUGAUGGUGCUUGCACCUGAUCGACGAUGGAUCACCAGUGAGUGGCGGACGGGUGAGUAACACGUAGGUAACCUGCCCUGUACAGGGGGUAACAAUCAGAAAUGACUGCUAAUACCGCAUAAGACCACAGCACCGCAUGGUGCAGGGGUAAAAACUCCGGUGGUACAGGAUGGACCCGCGUCUGAUUAGCUGGUUGGUGAGGUAACGGCUCACCAAGGCGACGAUCAGUAGCCGGCUUGAGAGAGUGAACGGCCACAUUGGGACUGAGACACGGCCCAAACUCCUACGGGAGGCAGCAGUGGGGAAUAUUGCACAAUGGGGAAACCCUGAUGCAGCAACGCCGCGUGAGUGAAGAGUAUUUCGGUAUGUAAAGCUCUAUCAGCAGGGAAGAAAGUGACGGUACCUGACUAAGAAGCCCGGCU
rnacentral:rRNA from 1 species